rfam:TPA: Bos taurus chromosome 11, whole genome shotgun sequence.
UCCCUGGUGGUCCAGUGAUUAGUACUUGGUCCUUUCACUGCCAUGGACCCAGGUUCAAUCCCUGGUCAGGGAA